UUUAUAAGGGGAUUACUUUCCAUCUUCUAAACAGAAAUAACCAAAAUCUUGGGAACAUGUUUAAACCCUGAAUUUGUUAAAAUAUUGCAGGAUUGUCUGACCUUGUAAGUUUUUCAUGACCAAUAGUCAAAUCCUGUGAGAAUGGCUUUCUGAGGAAGCAAUAACACUGGUCUCCCCGCCUCAGCAGUAAAACAGGCUUGUAAAAGAAAACACUGCAGAACGGGCAUGACCAUACUCCCAUUCUUCCCCAGUUCUGCUCCUAGGCAUGGUCUUUGGCACGUAUUUUUUCCUGCUAAAGGUAGUGUAAUUUACAUGUCUGGCUUUCCAUAAGUAGUGAAAACACUUUUUAUAUAUAAAAGUCCAGGUGGUUACAUAGCCAUAUCAUACAUUCCUGUUCUCCCAGGGUGACAUAAAUAGUUAUUUAUCCACACUAUUUCAGAGACACAGAAUCAAGGUGGUCAGCUAAGUGCAGCAUGUCCCUGCUGGUGCCUUGGAGGGUUUCUGGUCUGCUCAUGCUUCUGUUGAGGGCCAAGUUUUGCCUACAGAUGGGUCUCUGAGUGCUCGCUUCCUGCGACUGUUUUGACACGGCUCCACUGAAGUAAUUUGAAAGACUGUCUUCUGCAGGCUUUGGGUGGAUCCAUUUAGUGCCUUUAAUCCGUAAAGAAAAAGCCCUCAGUAAAGGAAGGGGAAUGUUACCUGCAUUUUAUAAAAGGAUACUGUUUAUAAAGGAAAUACUCCAACAUGGAUUCGUGCCCAUUGUGUGAGAUGACUGCUUUCUACCCUCUUCUGUCAGCGGUCUGAGUCGCAUUUCCUUCCCUCGAGCUGUGACCCUCCCUGCUGUGUAGCAGAUGCUAUGUGUCAGGAAGGCAUCUCCGUGCCUGUGAUUCUCCUCAUGGGGAGGUGGCUGUGCGGUGUGGGCCCCGUGCAGAGCUCUACCAAAGGCAGGAAUGGGGGCUGUGGGCAGGGCAGCUCCUCACCACCAGCUCUGCACCUGGCAGGCAGCAGCCUGAGCCCUGUGUCCGUGCUGCAGCAGUGGUGCUGUGCAGCCUGCCAGGCCUUGUUACAGGCUCGGUGCCAGAGCGAGGACCACAGGCAUCUCGCACGUGUGCCGCAAAGCUGCGCUGAGAAAUGCAGCUUGCAGAGCUUACGUUGUCAGAGGAACUAGUGAAAGAGGAAGAAAAAACCUAGCACUGGAAAGUUACGAUGAUAAUCUAUUGCAUUGGAUCUCCAAACAUGACCAUGAUAUCCUGGAGAAGAUCACAGAUGCAGAAAAUAAAUUCUAAGGUUGAUAUCUAACGAAAUGCUGCAUUAAUUGGCGUCUUCUCCAUUAUUUCUAGUAGUCUGCUGUGAAAUUAGAUACUUUGUAAAACAACGAAGGAGACUCAAGCAGAAAUUACAAAAGCUUUAUUUCUAUCUUUAAUGGGUCUUGCAAGUUAUUGUUUUCACAAACAAACCAAGUGUUCAAAUAUUAUUGUUUAAUGAAGUUCAUUUAAUCAGGUUAUGUAACUCUUUUUUGGUAAAUUGAUAUUGAUUUUAAUAAGUAAUUUAGAUGUAGGUAAUUUAGGUAUGGUAUCUGCAUUUGCUGAUUUUACCUAGACUAUUCUAAAACUUCUAUUGCACUAGAUUAUCAAAGAGGUAUUAGUAAAAUGUUAUAUAAAGGGCGUUGGCAUUAAUCUUAACCCCAAUUAGAUGUGGGCUUUUCAAAAAAUUAAAACCAAGCCUUUACCCUCCUCUGUUUUCUUACAUCUACUGAUAAUUAUAAUUAAAACAAACAAACAAACAAACAAACAACAAACCAAAAUGAAAACAAACAAACAAGAAAAAAAACAGCAACAAAAAAAGAAUGAAGAAAAUCACAUUGAUAGUAUAACCGGUAUUAAGCUCUGGGCCAGGUUGGAAAUGAAAUCAAUUUUUGGUACUAAUAACUGAUGGCAAAGAUUAACUCUAUGAAAAUAUGGUGUGUGUCUCUGACAAUGCAUAGGACAUCUAAUUUGAUCAUAAAUAUACAAUUAUAAACAAGAUGUAUCUAUUCCUGGAUGGUAAAAGCUUGAGGCGUAUAUAAAUACAUAUGUUUGUAUAUAUAUGGACUAUAUGGACAUAUACACAAGGAUGUAUCAACCUUUUACCAUCCAAAUGCAUACAGAUCUUCAACAAUGAAAGCUGGGACUCUUUAAAAAAAUAAAAAUAAAGUAAGAUUGCUGUGAAUACAGUAUAUGCACUAGGUCUCCUGUAAAUGAGGAACUGUUUGUUAUCAUUUUCUGCGUUGAAAAACAGUCUCCAACAUGGAUCCCAAUGACUUUUAGAUGUUAAAGAAGAAAAUAACAAUGAACAAACAGCCCAUAGAGGCUGUCUGAAUCACCAAAAUAUGUCUAGCGAAAUAAAUUUAAAGCACAUGCAAGGAAAAAUAGAAAUGUGAAGUCAUUACAUUCAGUGAGAGAAUAUUAACUGAUAGAUAAAUGUCUACGACUUCUCGAGGAGAGGAUCCUUGUGACUCCAUGAACAUUUUUGGUCAGUCUGGCAAACCUACAAAUGUUUGGCUGUUUUACUGGGGCAUCUUUUCGUCCAUGGGAGAAAUGCUUCCAUGGUGAUAGGAGUGGGAAUAGAAUAUCUACAUUUUUAAAGGACAAACAAUAAAUUUAAGCAUGGGUGGCCUUAAUCCUUAGUAGUUUUUCUUUGCUGCUGUAAAAAAGAAAAAUCUAAGUGGAUACUCCUGAAGUCUUGCACUGAAUUUAGAAAAAAUAUUUUUUGAACCUGUGGUGCAAUUAACCCUAAACAUCCUACAUGAGCCAUACAUAUAGCCCUCUAAAGUGAUUGUCUAGAGAUGAUAUUUUAUUUAUUUGUACCAUAAUUCGUGGUGCAGUCAAAGAGCAAUUUAUUUGAGCAGGAGUCCUGCUGGAUGCUACUGUUUUCCAUAGAUAGAAAAUGUAUAGAAUUAGUAUAGCACAGAUAAUCCAAAUUUCAUUCAUGUUUAAAAAGUUUGUCCUUUAACUAUCAAUGGCAUUUUAGAUCUUUGUUUUGAAACAGCAAAGCUUUUGGGAGUAUAUUUAGCACAUAUGACAAAUGUUGCACUUGGAAACUCAGACAACAAAGCUUAGUUUCUUGUGACAAAUUUGUUGUCACAGUAGGGGACAAUCGUCUGUGUCUCUUACAAUCAGGUCUUAACCUUAACUCUGCAACUGAAUACUUGAAGUAGGAAAUAAACUAGGGGGAAAUAGGUUCAGACGCAAAGCUGUAUAGUUAGAUAUUUAUAUGUAUGUGCCAAUUUUGUCACAGGUAUUACUUUAGGGGCAUUUUUGCUCCAUUCAUGUUGGUAACAGUAUUGAUCUAAACUUUUAUCAGGGCCUACAGGUUAGCCCUAAGGAGGAAAACUCUGUCUAACAUUGCUUCUUUCUUUAUCUUUCUUUUUUCUUUUCUUUUUUUUUUUCAUUUCAUGUGAUACUCUACGAUGUUUGCAGAAAAUCUUUUCAUAUACUAAAAUAGAAUCUCGGGGUUUACAAUAAACACUGUGAUGUUGGGAAAAUAUUUUAUUUGAGCAAUGUUUGGUAGUUUUUUUCCCCCUUGAAGUGUAAAGAAGCAACCAACUUUUGGUUAACACUUAAGAUAAUGAUUAUUAUUUUAAUGUGAGAUCAGUCUUGUACUGCGCAUUCUUUCUUUCAUUUAAAUGUACAGUAUGAAUUUUGUAUUUGAUGAAUUUUGUGUAUCCAGUAUGCACGUACCUGCGCAUUGACUUUCAUUUGAAAGUGAGUUUCAAUUUACUUUUUAAACAGUGUUUAUGAAAAGACCUCAGAUGUGUUGACACAAAGUAUAUCUGCAAUGUUUUUUUUUUUUCUGUGUGUAGGGUGACGUUUGAAUGUGAUGUUCUGCAGCAAUGGGUCAGUAUUCCCUAAUAACCUUAGAUCCUCAUUUGAUAGUGCUUCUUGUAAUAUUUUUUUCAAGUGAGUGGCAUGUUCUGGAUUGUGAUAUUGAUAUGUGGUUAAGGAUAUCGAUAUGAAACUAAGGAAUUCCUAGAAAUUAACAGUGGGCAUGUAUUAGACAGUCAUUGUAAUUUAAUGUCUAGUAGAAGUGUAAAGUACCAAGGUAUUUAGAGUUCAUAACAUUGUUAUCAUGUGUAUGGAAGUAUUUAGUGUUGAUCAUCUUGUUUAUAUUCAUCAAAUAAACUUUGUUUCUUUCUGAAAUCAGUGUUGUGUCAUUAAAACUACAUUUAAUGGCUGUACGAAAAUGUGUG
rnacentral:lncRNA from 1 species